CAUGAAACAAUAGUGUAAAAUGUUUACUUAUAUCAGAGAUUUGCUCCAAGCUGCCCAGGAGUCUGGAACGCUUUGACUGUACAGGAUCCAGGGAGAACCAGUCCCAGUUUGAAGCACCAUCAAGGAGCACCAUAUUUCUUGGAAGUAUGAAUGAGACAAACAAGCUCUGAGACCAGGCCAGUGAAACAAACCUGUCCUAGAAAUCUGGUUUCAAAUUUCAGGAUAUCAGGCAAAAGGAAGAAGAACAAGAAAAAAAAAACAAGGAGGAGAAAAAGGAAAAGAAAUGAAGAUGAAUUACCAUCAAUGACAGCAGUUUUCUCUAAAAAAGACUCACUGGGAAGAAACUUUUAUUGUUGACAUUACAGUUUGAAACAAGGUUUAUGUAUUGUACUGGCUAGUUUUGUGUCAACACAGCUGGAGUUAUCACAGAAAAAGGAGCUUCAGUUGAGGAAAU